GAGAAAUUCAAAGGGAUUUUAAAAGGUUCCUUCAGAUCUAUUAUCUACUGACUUACAAAAAGAAAAUCUCAAAUGAAUCCAAAUCUGUGUUCUUCUAAAGAGCCUAAAGUUCAAGUGUGCAGUUGAAGCUUAUCUGAAUCUCCCGUCUUCCCUGGCCUGCAUACUUGGGCUUGAAGUCCUGUUGGGAACUCUGUGCUUCUGGGAUUUCUGACAUUUCAACUUUUGGAUUAUAGUCGAACCUACAGUCACACGUACCAUGCAGGUAUCCACUAUCUUCUUACAUGAAUGAUUUCUCACAAGAAGUCUACUGUAAUUCUUAUUCUACUUCCCCUAUAGAUACUUGCCUUAAAAACCAAUGAUGUGGCUUGAUGAAAUCCAGGUAAAAGUUGUGUUCCACCCCACAGUAACAGAUGAGAGUCAGAUGACUGACAUCCUCUGCCAGUCAUUUAAGGAAGAAAGCCUUUGAAAUGACUCUAGACCUACCACUCAUUGACCACAACCACAUGAGAAUCUAAGAACAAGAACAACA